rnacentral:rRNA from 1 species
AUUGAACGCUGUCGGCAUGCUUAACACAUGCAAGUCGAACGGCAGCAUGGAUUGUAGCAAUACAAUUUGAUGGCGAGUGGCGGACGGGUGAGUAACGCGUAGGAAUCUGCCUUGAAGAGGGGGACAACCCGAGGAAACUCGGGCUAAUCCCGCAUGAUAUCGAGAGAUUAAAGUUGGGGCGAACUGACACUUCAAUAGUAGCCUACGUCCGAUUACCUAGGUGGAUAGGUAAAAGGUGACAAAGGCGAUGAACGGUAACUGGUCUGAGAGGACGACCAGUCAAACUGGGACUGAGACACGGCCCGGACUCCUACGGGAGGCAGCAGUGGGGAAUAUUGGACAAUGGGGGCAACCCUGAUCCAGCAAUUCCGCGUGUGUGAAGAAGGCCUUCGGGUUGUAAAGCACUUUAGGUUGGGAAGAAGGUGGUUAUUUUAAGAGAUAGAUCACUUGACGGUACCGACAGAAUAAGCACCGGCUAACUCUGUGCCAGCCGCCGCAGUAA